ACAAACUUGGUCAUUUAGAGGAAGUAAAAGUCGUAACAAGGUAACCGUAGGUGAACCUGCGGUUGGAUCAUUAACAAAUUAAAUUUGUUUAAUGAAUUUUGAUGAAGAUGGAUUUCCAUCUCACUCUUUAUUCAUUUUUCAACACCUGGGUGCACCUAAAGGGUGUGCCCCUGUGUCUUGGUUUUGGGGGUUAAGUGGUCGGAAUGUGUUAGGAAUCCGCCUUCCUGGCAUAUCCUGGCUCUUAAUUCUCUUUACCAUGAUUUACACUCAUUUUUAAGUCAUAAACAAUUUAUUUUUAUUCAAAAAUAAAAACAAAACAACUUUUGACAACGGAUCUCUUGGCUCUUGCAUCGAUGAAGAACGCAGC
rnacentral:misc_RNA from 1 species